rnacentral:rRNA from 1 species
UACGGAGGGUGCGAGCGUUGUCCGGAAUCAUUGGGCGUAAAGAGCGUGUAGGCGGCCUGGUAAGUCCGCUGUGAAAGUCCAGGGCUCAACCCUGGAAUGCCGGUGGAAACUGUCAGGCUCGAGUCCGGAAGAGGCGAGUGGAAUUCCUGGUGUAGCGGUGAAAUGCGCAGUUAUCAGGAGGAACACCAAUGGCGAAGGCAGCUCGCUGGGACGGUACUGACGCUGAGACGCGAAAGCGUGGGGAGCAAACAGG